AUUGUGGAACCGAGCCUGAUGAAAAUAUUGACAAUAGUGUCAGGCAACUUCCAUUGGUUGGUCCCUGACCCUCCGGUUGAUGGCCUUUAACUUGACAGGGAGAUAUCUGUCAGUCAAGAAUGAAUGGUGUUUGAAAAUGAGCCGUUGAUAUCCUGGUUGGAGGACCUAAGUAUAAAUCUGACAGUGUAGGGAUGGCCUCCCAUUGUCCCUCACUUGCUUUCUCAAUGCUACUGUGUUUGGUUUGUCUUUUGGGAUGUGGAGGAUAGGUGAAUUUCAGUACAUGCAUGUCUCUAACAUCAGAGGUCAGUAACGAAAGUUUAGCAUGUCCUGGCUGAUACGCUUGGAAGGCUUAUGAAAACGGCUAAACCAUAAACGACAAAUCAACUAGAGAAGAGAUGAUAUGAUGUACCUUCUAUGUUGUUUGACCUUAUUGGUGGAUAAUGUAGAGAACUUUUUGUUUGAAAAGCAGAGCUCCAUGCCCAUUGAAUGAUGAAGCACGCUGAAUAACUCGAAAGCGUUGGUGCUGGUAACUUGGUUGAGGGGUUGAAUGCUGUAAUAUCCUCUGAAGGGAGCACUGAAGUUGAUCAGUAAUCAGACACAGGCCAUUGAGGAUUAUUGCACAUCAACAUUC